UAGUCUCCCCCUUCCUCCCCACCCAGGAGCUGGACGAGUCUUGCUGAUACCUGGGUACUGCUUUUUCUUGUUCAGUGCUUACAAAACUGGUCUCCCAUCCUAAGAGAAGCCAGCUGCACAGCAAGGAAACCAAGAAGGCCCAGUUAACCCAAGUGCAUAGGGAGCAUGACAAAGCACCGUGUGGCUCCUGUGGGUCUCUGCUGUCCCUGCUCUCGGGCGAGGGACUACUGGGAUCAUUUGCUCCACAAUCUCCCAGAGACUGAGGUGAGGCUGGUAGUUCCCCUGGUUGUCCUUUUUGCCCUUUUAUUUGGUUUCUUCUGAAGUGUCUCCAGGACUGUGCAACUGUUUCUGAACUGAAAAUCCAGAUUCUUCUCAAGGUAGCCAGACCUAUCCUGCUUCAGUGAAACUGAACUUCUUUGAACUUUGGACUUUCCUCUUCACAAUCCCCUCUAUGAAGCAAGAAUAAGAAUAAAACUGAUGAGCCACACUGAAAAGAUGGGGGAAAAAAACGAAAAGACCACUUCUGUUAUCAGAAAAGCUCUUUCUGUGCCUGUGGUUUGGAAGCUACGGCCCUCUCCCUGUAACUUAACAUGAGACACGGUGCACAUUAUGAAGAGCUCUCAGAAGGAGCAGUUGAAGACUCCAGCACGAUGGGACCUCCCUGAAAACCCAGCUCUGUGGAAACACUGGCAUCCCUCAACCCCAUCAGUUACAGAGAGACCCUUCCCUGUACUGGAUCACCCAACCCUUCCACCACCACAGUUUUCUUCUGUCCUUCACCUACGUUGCGCAAGUGAGAAAGAAGAUGAGAAGGCAGCAGAAGACAGAUAUGGUGAUGAAAGCUGGAAAAGAAGUAAGAAGGAUUGUGUUAGCACUUGCAUCCCGUCUCAACUACAGAAAAUACCAUGAGUUCCUGUGGACUGAAAGGCUGUAGAUGUGUACAAUGCAUGCACUGACACAAGCCAAAAAAAAAACCCUUUGCUUUGGUUUUUUGUUUUGGGUUUUUUUGGGUUUUUUUGGUUUUUUGGGGUUUUUUUUUUGUUUUUUGUUUUUUUUCCUAUCAGCACCAGAAACAUGAGUUUUGCCCCUUGCUAGAGGCCUGAACUCUUCUUGUGCACAUUUUAGAGUAUGAUUCAGACUAAGUUCUUUUUUUGUCACUGGCCCCAUUACCUAAUGUUUUGCAGUCCUGCCCA